rnacentral:tRNA from 1 species
GCGGCUGUGGCGGAAUUGGCAGACGCGCUAGAUUCAGGUUCUAGUCCUAGCAAUAGGGUGGAGGUUCAAGUCCUCUCAGCCGCA